GGUAGGAAGCUUGGGAAUGUUAAAGAGCAUGCAAUAUCAAUGUAGGAUGCUACUCCAGAAAAUACUUUACCUUACAUGUGGAGUUCCUUCAAUAGAUGUCUCCCCCAAACCUAGGGGCCCUUAUUCCCUGCUAAGAAGACUUACUCUGGACACUGAGGCAAGAAGAUCGCCAGAGACCAGGAGUUGGAGACCAGCCUGGGCAAGAUAGCAAGACCCCUUCUCUAAAAAAAAAAAAAAAAAAAAAAAGCCAGGCAUGGUAGUUGCCUCUAUAGUCCCAACUAUGCAGAAUGAUGAGGUGGUAGGAUCCCUUAAGCCCAGCAAUUCUCGUUUGCAGUGAGCUAUGGAUUAGACUGCUGCACUUCAGCCCCGGGAAACACAGCAAGACCCCCCCACCUUCUCAAAAAACAAACAAAAAAGACUAAGAAACCUCACCUGGGUCAGGGUUUUUAGAGCUAGAUUUGAAUCUUGACUGAGCCACUUACAAACUAGGCAAAUCACUUGCUUUCCCAAAGCUUCAUUUUGAAAAUAGAGCUAGUAGUACACUGCAGCUGGCUUUUACGAGUUUGCAAGGUAGCUUGCUAAAUUUUUAGGCAUUUCAUGAGCCAGUUGUUAUGCACAACCAUUAUUAAAAAUCAGGCCGAGCUUCUCCCAGAAAACACCAAAUGGCAGGUGACGAUGGCGCAGCCAGAGGCCCUGGGGGCUUCCUAGAAUGGGAGGGCGCAGCGGCUUCCGUGGAGUGGAGGCUUCGGUGGCGGCGGCAAUUCCUGUUGGUGGUUGGGGCCGGGGCGAGGCCACGGAGCUGGCGGAGGCAAGGCAGAGGACGAGGAGUGGAUGCCCGUCACCAAGCUGGGCUGCCUGGUUAAGGACAUGAAGAUCAAAUCCCUGGAGGAGAUCUAUCUGUUCUCCUUGCCUAUCAAAGAGUCUGAGAUCAUUGAUUUUUCCCUGGGAGCAACUAUCAAAGAUGAGGUUUUGAAGAUUAUUAUGCCAGUGCAAAAGCAGACCCGCGCUGGCCAACGGACCAGGUUCAAGGCGUUUAUUGCCAUCGGGGACUACAAUGGCCACGUUGGUCUAGGUGUUGAGUGCUCCAAGGAGGUAGCCACUGCCAUCCGACAGGCCAUCAUCCUGGCCAAGCUCUCCAUUGUCCCCAUGCGGAGAGGCUACUGGGGGAACAAGAUGGGCAAGCCCCACACUGUUCCUUGCAAGGUGACAGGCCUCUGCAUCUCUGUGCUGGUGCGUCUCAUCCCUGCCCCUAGAGGAACUGGCAUCCUCUCAGCCCCUGUGCCCAAGAAGCUGCUGAUGAUGGCUGGUAUCGAUGACUGCUACACUUCAGCCAGGGGCUGCACUGCCACCCUGGGCAACUUCGCAAAGGCCACCUUUGAUGCCAUCUCCAAGACCUAUAGCUAUCUGACUCCUGACCUCUGGAAAGAGACAAUAUUCACCAAGUCUCCCUACCAGGAAUUCACCAACCAUCUUGUCAAGACCCACACCGGAGUCUCCCUGCAGAGGACCCAGGCGUCAGCUGUGGCUACAACAUAGCAUUUUUAU